AGAACGAACGCUGGCGGCGCGCCUAACACAUGCAAGUCGAACGAGAAUCCGGGGCAACCCGGUAGUAAAGUGGCAAACGGGUGAGGAAUACAUGGGUAACCUACCCUUGAGAAGGGAAUAACCCGCCGAAAGGUGAGCUAAUACCCUAUACGCUAUCCUCUUUUCGAAAAGGAUAGGAAAGCCAGGUCGAGGACCUGGUACUCAAGGAGGGCUCAUGUCCUAUCAGCUUGUUGGUGGGUAACGGCCUACAAGGCUACGACGGGUAGCUGGUCUGAGAGGAUGAUCAGCCACACUGGCACUGAGAUACGGGCCAGACUCCUACGGGAGGCAGCAGUGAGGAAUAUUGCGCAAUGGGCGAAAGCCUGAGCAGCGACGCCGCGUGGGAUGAAGGUUUCGGAUGUAAACCCCUUCAUGAGGAAAGAUAAAGUGGUAACCACUUAGACGUACCUCAAAGAAAGAAGACCACGGCUAAACUUCGUGCCAGCAGCCGC
rnacentral:rRNA from 1 species